GACGAACGCUGGCGGCAGGCUUAACACAUGCAAGUCGAGCGGGCGUAGCAAUACGUCAGCGGCAGACGGGUGAGUAACGCGUGGGAACGUACCUUUUGGUUCGGAACAACACAGGGAAACUUGUGCUAAUACCGGAUAAGCCCUUACGGGGAAAGAUUUAUCGCCGAAAGAUCGGCCCGCGUCUGAUUAGCUAGUUGGUGAGGUAACGGCUCACCAAGGCGACGAUCAGUAGCUGGUCUGAGAGGAUGAUCAGCCACAUUGGGACUGAGACACGGCCCAAACUCCUACGGGAGGCAGCAGUGGGGAAUAUUGGACAAUGGGCGCAAGCCUGAUCCAGCCAUGCCGCGUGAGUGAUGAAGGCCCUAGGGUUGUAAAGCUCUUUUGUGCGGGAAGAUAAUGACGGUACCGCAAGAAUAAG
rnacentral:rRNA from 1 species